rnacentral:rRNA from 1 species
UACGGGGGGGCAAGCGUUGUUCGGAAUUACUGGGCGUAAAGGGCUCGUAGGUGGCCAACUAAGUCAGACGUGAAAUCCCUCGGCUUAACCGGGGAACUGCGUCUGAUACUGGAUGGCUUGAGUGUGGGAGAGGGAUGCGGAAUUCCAGGUGUAGCGGUGAAAUGCGUAGAUAUCUGGAGGAACACCGGUGGCGAAGGCGGCAUCCUGGACCAUUACUGACACUGAAUAGCGAAAGCCAGGGGAGCAAACGGG